CUGAUCAAGUCCAAAGUAAGUCAAUAAAACAAACUUGGGUAUUAUUCCAUUAACGCUGAGACGGGCAUACCCUACAGAAUACUAUAGGGUGCAAUAUGCGUUCAAAGACUCAAUGAUUCACUGGAUCUGCAAUUCACAUUAAUUAUCACAUUUCGCUGUGUUCUUCAUCGAUGCAGGAGCCAAGAGAUCCGUUGUUGAAAGUUUUAUAAUCAAUUUCUCUUACUCAAUCAGACUUUC
rnacentral:misc_RNA from 1 species